rnacentral:rRNA from 1 species
AAUUAUACGGCGAAACUGCGAAUGGCUCAUUAAAUCAGUUAUCGUUUAUUUGAUAGUACCUUACUACUUGGAUAACCGUGGUAAUUCUAGAGCUAAUACAUGCUUAAAACCCCGACUCACGAAGGGGUGUAUUUAUUAGAUUAAAAACCAAUGCCCUUCGGGGCUCUUUGGUGAUUCAUAAUAACUUUUCGAAUCGCAUGGCCUUGCGCCGGCGAUGGUUCAUUCAAAUUUCUGCCCUAUCAACUUUCGAUGGCAGGGUCUUGGCCUGCCAUGGUGACAACGGGUAACGGAGGGUUAGGGCUCGACCCCGGAGAAGGAGCCUGAGAAACGGCUACUACAUCCAAGGAAGGCAGCAGGCGCGCAAAUUACCCAAUCCCGACUCGGGGAGGUAGUGACAAUAAAUACUGAUACAGGGCUCUUUUGGGUCUUGUAAUUGGAAUGAGUACAAUUUAAAUCCCUUAACGAGGAACAAUUGGAGGGCAAGUCUGGUGCCAGCAGCCGCGGUAAUUCCAGCUCCAAUAGCGUAUAUUAAAGUUGUUGCAGUUAAAAAGCUCGUAGUUGAACCUUGGGCCUGGCUGGCCGGUCCGCCUCACCGCGUGCACUGGUUCGGCCGGGCCUUUCCCUCUGGGGAACCGCAUGCCCUUCACUGGGUGUGUCGGGGAACCAGGACUUUUACUGUGAAAAAAUUAGAGUGUUCAAAGCAGGCCUAUGCUCGAAUACAUUAGCAUGGAAUAAUAGAAUAGGACGUGUGGUUCUAUUUUGUUGGUUUCUAGGACCGCCGUAAUGAUUAAUAGGGACAGUCGGGGGGCAUCAGUAUUCAAUUGUCAGAGGUGAAAUUCUUGGAUUUAUUGAAGACUAACUACUGCGAAAGCAUUUGCCAAGGAUGUUUUCAUUAAUCAGGAACGAAAGUUAGGGGAUCGAAGACGAUCAGAUACCGUCGUAGUCUUAACCAUAAACUAUGCCGACUAGGGAUCGGGCGAUGUUAUUAUUUGACUCGCUCGGCACCUUACGAGAAAUCAAAGUCUUUGGGUCUG